UUAAAAUUAAUCCUGAAACACACGGGGAGCCAAUGCAGCAAUUGUAAGACUGGCGUAAUGUGUUCCUGUCAUUAUCUGUGGUGUGGGGCUCAUUUU